UGAGAUACCAUUUCGAAGUAUGUAUUUUCAUAUCUUUCUGAUUCAGUCUUCAGACUUCUUUUAUUUCUAUUGCAUUGUAUAAUAUGCGAGUAAAAACAUAAAAUCCUCGAAACUAAUAGGCCAGGUAAUAUUUUGCAAUACAAUGAAUCAGUACGUGACAUCACAGGUGAAUUCUAGAUAUUUUUUUUUCACUUUUGUACAUCCUGCGAUUAUUUUUGUUAUGCUUCAAUAAGUUUUAUGUAUUUCAGGUAUCUUCAAAUGCCAUAACUGUUCCAGAACAUACACGAGGAAGGGAAACCUUCAGAGACAUAUUAAAAUUGAGUGCGGAACGAAACCUUCCAUUAUUUGUCCGAUUUGUUCGGCAAAGUUCAAAUAUCAUCACGUCUUGAAAAUACAUUUAAAUUCGGUCCAUGGCGUAGUGCUACCCAAGACCAAUUGAAUGUUCGUUUUUUAUUCAAAAGUAUCCGCAUUAGAAGUUAGGUGACCAGUUGUCUUUGAAGAAAAACAUUGAAGUAUUAAGUUUUCAGUAUUCUGCAACCCCCACUCAUAAUGAUUGGAUCAACAUUGGUCCCGCCAAAUCCAAACGGACCAGGGUUGAACCCAAUUAAUAAUCCGGUGGGCCCGGAACAUAUUCCUACCCGCAGUAGAACAUGUAUCACCAGAGAACAAUCUGAAAUGUUGAUGCAAGUGUAUAGAAAGAACCCAUGCCCACAUGCGGAAAUUAAGAGAAAAUUGGAGGUAGACUCGGGCCUGUCUUAUAAAGUUAUCAAGACCUGGUUCCAGAAUAGAAGACAACUUGACAAAAAAAUGCUUCAAAAGGAGAGCUCUGGUAAAAAUUAAACAGCUCUUGCACGAAGCGAUAUUUAUUUGGACUAAAUUGAAAAAUAAUUAAUAAAUGAUUAUUGGUUUAUACUCUGACAUAGAUAUUUCAAUAAAUUAUCUCUUUAAUGCCAAA